rnacentral:misc_RNA from 1 species
UUUCCGUAGGUGAACCUGCGGAAGGAUCAUUAUCAAACAGCGGCCUUCGGGCCUUGCUGCACCCUUGUCUUUUGCGUACCGUAUGUUUCCUCGGCGGGCUUGCCUGCCGGUUGGACAUUAUCAAACCUUUUUGUAGUUGCAAUCAGCGUCAGAAAACAAAUAAUUAUUACAACUUUCAACAACGGAUCUCUUGGUUCUGGCAUCGAUGAAGAACGCAGC